rnacentral:rRNA from 1 species
GAAGGACUCCGCUUUCGGGUGGAGAGCGUACACAGGUGCUGCAUGGCUGUCGUCAGCUCGUGUCGUGAGAUGUUGGGUUAAGUCCCGCAACGAGCGCAACCCUUGCCUUUAGUUGCCAGCAGUUCGGCUGGGCACUCUAAAGGGACUGCCGGUGUUAAACCGGAGGAAGGUGGGGAUGACGUCAAGUCCUCAUGGCCUUUAUGACCAGGGCUACACACGUACUACAAUGGCCGAUACAAAGGGCAGCGACACUGCGAGGUGAAGCCAAUCCCGUAAAAUCGGUCUCAGUCCGGAUUGGAGUCUGCAACUCGACUCCAUGAAGUUGGAAUCGCUAGUAAUCGUGGAUCAGCAUGCCACGGUGAAUACGUUCCCGGGCCUU